rnacentral:rRNA from 1 species
AGUGAACGCUGGCGGCAGGCCUAACACAUGCAAGUCGAACGACAGCACAGUAAGAUCUUUCCCUUACGGUUGGCGAGUGGCGGACGGGUGAGGAAUACAUACCAAUCUACUAUUUCGGGGGUAAUAACGGAAGGCAAGUUACGCUACUACCGCAUACGUUGAACGGCUGAAAUCAGUGGAGCUUCGGACUUUUGGUGUCUGUAUUAGCUGAUGCCGCAUUAGCUAGUUGGCGAGGUAAAGGCCUACCAAGGCGACGAUGCGUAGCUGACCUGAGAGGAUGAUCGGCCACACUGGAACUGAGACACGGUCCAGACUCCUACGGGAGGCAGCAGUAGGGAAUCUUGCGCAAUGGGCGCAAGCCUGACGCAGCAACGCCGCGUGAGUGAUGAAGGUCUUCGGAUCGUAAAGCUCUUUUAUUAGGGAAGAACAACUGUGUAAGUAACCAUGCCCGUCCUGACGGUACCCAAUCAGAAAGCACCGGCUAACUACGUG